AGCCCUCCUAAAAUAAUCGCAGAAAACAAGAAGAAAGCCCAGGCAGCGUGCGCCGAACCGCCCACCCGGAGUCCGGGACCGGAGCCGGCUUUCUCCGGACUUGGUCCGACCCGAUAACCCGCCGCCCCCCGCCCCCCGGACUUGGGGUCAAGAGCAGGGACCCCAGGAGGAACACCGGAAGAGGUGACACCUCGGGGCCCAUGAACGUUUGGAAUUCGUAAAGACGUGGGAAUCUCGUGGUUCCGUGUCAGCCUGACACCGGCCGCGGGCCCAAGCCAAGAACAGCCUGGGCUGGGAGGCACUGCGCACGCGCGCCGAGUCGAGCGGAAAAAUAAACGUGUUGAUGGAAGACUGAACAUAACUUUACCCAGGAGGGAAAACGAAAGAACCCGAAGGCUCCCGAGGCUUUCCUCUCUGUGUACCGCGGAUCUCCGCGCGCCUAGCAGUCACCGCCCCCUACUCGCUGAUUGGCUGCUGUGCAGAACGCGCGGCGGGAUUGUUUUGUGAGCCGCGAAUGAAGUGGCCGGAUAGGUCCAGGGGGCGGGCAAGCGGUGCCAGGGGACUUCUGAUUGGAUACAAGCGAGUGGUUCCCGGAGGCUUGUGCGUUUAGGGGUCAUAAACCCGUGUUUUAGUCUUGGUUCUGCUUUGCUCACCCAGCGAGGUUGUGUUUCUUUUAGACAACAGUCACUUAACUGACAAAUGGUCAGUACUGUUUCUCAUGGUCCGUGGGGGUGUUUCUCCGAGCGAUGGACAGGAAUCGCUAUGGAUUCCUCCUGCAGCAUCGCGCCGCGGGUGGAAAAUAUGUACAGGGAGUAGUAUAUCUUCUUUGGAUUCAGAUCUGAGAUUUGAGAUGUGUUUAUCCCUGUGGGAUAAAUGACGAGGGAGCCUGCUGACGCAUUCUGGUCUCCCUACAGGGUGAUUGGCACGGUGGCUAUAGGUUCUUACCCUUGGGAGGAUGCCUUGGAAACGAAAAGGAGCCUCUCUCCGCUUUCCUAUUAAUUCUCUAAGCAUGCCUUUUGCAGACAUGACCCACGCAGUCUUUAAAUUAUCUGAAUGGAUCAGUUUGAAUGAGCCAUCCCAGCCUCAAAAAUAUCAAGACGUGAGAGGAGGCACACGCGCUACCAGAAAAUAAAGCCACUUGUAAUUUAAAAAAUUAAGAUAAGGUCCGGAUGAAUAAACAUACUAAUGGAAGAGAA